rnacentral:rRNA from 1 species
UAUAGAGGGGGCAAGCGUUAUUCGGAAUUAUUGGGCGUAAAGGGCGCGUAGGCGGUUCGUACAGUCAGACGUGAAAUUCCUGGGCUCAACCUGGGGGCUGCGUUUGAUACGUGCGGACUUGAGUGCGGAAGAGGGUCGUGGAAUUCCCAGUGUAGAGGUGAAAUUCGUAGAUAUUGGGAAGAACACCGGUGGCGAAGGCGGCGACCUGGUCCGAUACUGACGCUGAGGCGCGAAAGCGUGGGGAGCGAACAGG